UCCAGUGUGGCUCAGUUGGUAGAGCAUGGUGUUUGCAACACCAGGGUUGUCGGUUCGAUUCCCACGGGGG
rnacentral:tRNA from 1 species